rnacentral:rRNA from 1 species
UGCUGCAGUGGUGGGGGUUGGAAAGUUUCGGCGGUUGGGGAUGGACUCGCGGCUUAUCAGCUUGUUGGUGGGGUAGUGGCUUACCAAGGCUUUGACGGGUAGCCGGCCUGAGAGGGUGACCGGCCACAUUGGGACUGAGAUACGGCCCAGACUCCUACGGGAGGCAGCAGUGGGGAAUAUUGCACAAUGGGUGGAAGCCUGAUGCAGCAACGCCGUGUGCGGGAUGACGGCCUUCGGGUUGUAAACCGCUUUCGCUCAUGACGAAGCUUCGUGUGACGGUAGUGGGUAAAGAAGCACCGGCUAACUACGUG